rnacentral:rRNA from 1 species
AUGCGCCCUGAUGGUCGACGUCUUGUUUGGGAUCUCAUCUGGAAGAGUCAGGCACCGCCCAAAGUACGCAUAUUUGCGUGGAAGGCUGCACAUGAAGCUUUGGCCACGGAAGCAACCCAGAAAGUUAAACAUAUGGUGCAUGUCCAAGCUUGUACUAUUUGUGGUAAUGCUCUUGAAGAUGCUCACCAUGCCCUUAUUCGAUGUCCCCAUGCGGCUGGUCUAUGGAAUGCAAUGCGAGAAGUUUGGGAUCUUCCUAAUGAUGCCGACCUUCAGGAUUCAGAGCCGGAUUGGAUAUUCCGCCUCCUAGACAAGCUGACUGAACCUCAGAGAGUCAUGGCCCUGAUGAUUAUGUGGCGGGCUUGGUAUGUGCAUAAUGAAAUAACCCACCAGAAGCCGGCGAUCCCCAUUGAGGUCUCUCGCCGCUUCCUCGCUAGUUACGUCACAUCGAUCUUGUCGCUGCAGCAACACCCUCAGGCUGAUCAGAUCAAAGGUAAACAAAUUGUUGAUUACUUUGGGGAACAUGUUUGGGAGCCAAAGCCAAUGAUGCGUGUGGAGCACUGGAUGCCUCCAGCGAUUGGCUAUGCCAAGCUGAAUGUCGACGGAUCGUUCGUGGCCUUAGAUGGUACAGCAGAUGCCGGUAUGAUACUUCGUGAUCACAAUGGGGCUGUGAUGCUCGCUGCAAUCAGAGACCUUGUGAAUUGUGUGGAUGCACUGGAGGCUGAACUAGCUGCAAUUCACGAAGGCAUAACAUUGGCACUCAGUUGGACAGAAUUGGACCUUGUGGUAGAGAGCGAUUGUGCGGAUGCGCUACAUUUGAUCUCUGCUGUGGGGAAAGAUCGGUCAGCUCACACUCAUAGAGUCAUGGAGAUUAGAUCCCUGCUAGCUCAAGAAAGAAGGAUCCAGUUACAGAAGAUUAAGCGUAGUGUAAAUCUCGCUAGCCACACUCUCGCCCAUUUGGGACGUACUCAACAGCGGACUGCUGUUUAG